UGCUGCUAUUAGGAACCUGGAUAACCCGGCAGGGACAUACCCACCAGGUUAUCUACUCAACUACGCACUGGCUCCGUACAUGGGCUAUCCUUCAGAAGUAUACUUUGCAGGACAAGCUUGUAGCGGCCUCUCAUUUCUUGGCACAGGUGGCCAAGGAUUUUUUUUGCCCGGGCACAUGGGUGGCGGUCUAGUCUUCGGAUUGACAGUCAUUAGUGUGGAAGGAUCUUUAUCAAACUCUUUUUAGGCUGUGUGUCGUUUAGGCAGAGGUCGGGAAAAUUUCAAGACGAUGUAUCACCUUGAUGUAUUGUGCUUGAAAUCAAUAAAAUUUCCCUUUUCAAAAAAAAA